UUUUGUAUGUGUCAUGACUGGCUGAUCAUUGAAAAUAAGUAGCCAGCAGAAACAUCAACAGUUGAGGCAAACUUGGGUGAGCUCCAAAUUGGCAUAUUGUUAUCAUAUGCAUAUCAUAUGCAUUAUCGUAUGCAUAUUGAAUAAUAGUGCUUGCUAUGAUCAAGGAAGUGGGAAUUUCAGUCGAGAGCUGUAAAAAUAUAUAAGAACCGAAUGAAAGUCUGUUACAGAUCUGUGUUGCACACUAACAGAAGUUAAGAACUCAAUGGAUGAUUUUAUCAAGAGAUUAAGUGAAAGCGGAGAGAGAAGUAGUGAACUGGAAGAUAGAUCAGAAGAUAAUACACAGACUAAACCCCUGGAAAGACACAACAAUAAUACAGAAGAGAGGGAAAGACGCAGAGAGGCUGGAGUGAGAUGGCCUAAGAUCCACAGUCAGGGCCACAGUAAUAAAGGGCAGAGAAAUAAAAGAUAGAAGUAGAAAAGAACUUUGCAAAACGAAUGAAAGACAUUAAGCCACAGAUUCAGGAAGCCCUAUGAACCUAGAUAAGAUAAAUAAAAAUUCCACACCUGUUCUUACGCCAGCCAAUUUCUGAACACCUAGGAGAGAACCUUAAAAAGCAGCCAGAGGAAACAAGGCAUUAUGAUCACAAGAGUAAUAGUUAUAUUGACCACUAACUUCUUAAAAACAGUGGAUGCCGGAAGACAGUGGAAUGAUAACUUUAAAUGCUAAAGGAAAUAAUUGUCAACCUAAACUUGACAAGUGAAACUCUUUCAAGAAUGAAGGUUUCAAGUAAAGAGGGUGUUCUUCAGGCAGAAGGCAAAUGAUCUAGAGGGGAGGUCAGAGAUACAGAAAAGAAGGAAGAACAUUGAAAAUGAUAAUAUUUGGAUGUUCUAAAAGUUCUUUGAUUGGCCACCAAGAGGAUGAAACUAUCUAUGAAUGUUAGGUUUUGAUAAAUCAAGGAGGGAUGCUGUAAUCUCUAGGAUAAUCACUAAAGGAUAGAAAGAUGAUUCUCGGGGCGCCUGGGUGGCUCAG